rnacentral:lncRNA from 1 species
AAUCCUCCCACUUUGGCAUCCCAAAGUGCUAAGGUUACAGGCAUGAGCCACCAUGCCCAGCAGAAAUUAUUUAGCUUAAACUUUCAUACUAGAAGAAAUGGAAAGGUUAACAAAGACCCUUCAUAGUAUUAAUCUUCUCUGAUUCCAUGAUGAGAUUAAUCUGACAAACAUUUAUAGGGCACCCAUUCUAUAAAAGCCACCAAGGGCCAGGCAUGGUGGCUCACGCCUGUAAUCCCAGCACUUUGGGAGGCCAAGGCAGGGGGAUCACAAAGUCAGGAGUUCGAGACCAGCCUGACCAACAUGGUGAAACCCUGUCUCUACUAAAAAUACAAAAAUUAGUCAGGUGUGGUAGCAUGCAUCUGUAGUCCCAGUUACAGGAGGCUGAGGCAGGAGAAUCGUUUGAACCCAGAGGUAGAGGCUGCAGUGAGAUGAGAUCUUGCCACUGCACUAUAACCUGGGCGACUGAGUGAGACUCCGUCUCAAAAAAAAAAAAAAAAAAGGCACCAAGGUAGUACCAAGGUUGUACAGUAUAUCUGAAAGUAGACAUACAGUAAGUAAACCAUAAUAUCAUAGGCAUGAUAUAAGUCUAAAUAUUCAUAGCCAUAACUCCUACUCAAUUUAAGGAAGGCAAAAAUGUUUUUCAGUUUAGAGACAAUUCAAAAAUCCCUGCCAGACCUAUCUAGAGAGAAAACUCAGAAAGACAAAUUUAGAAAAACAUCUAAGUGCUAAAAUAAAACAGAAGUAAAAACUUCUUAAUCUCAAACUCUGGAAUAUAUCUAUCAUAUAACUAUGUAAACCAGCUGUUAUAGAAAAUUCACUUCAUUAUCUAUGGAGCAAAAAGAUAAACACUAUG